UUGGGGGAGGCGGCGGCCGCCGCCGUCCAGGCGUCGGGGGCAGCGCUGGUGCUCCGCCGCCGCCGCCUGAAGUGGACAUCGGUGGGGAAGGGCUCGCCGAACUCAUUCACCCGGACAGCUCGAAGAAGCGUACCGACGAUCGAAGAAUCCCCCGCGUGACGUUUUUUAUAGCAGUGAUUUUCUUCUGCGCUGCUUGGAUAUGAGGCGCUUAAAGCAACUUUUGUUUAGGGUUAUUUUUAUGUUGUGCAGUUUUCAGGCACCCUGAGGGAAAAGAAAGAUUAUUUCCUUAUCCGAGUUUAGUUUGUUUUGUUUUACAGUUUGGAAGUUUUCUAUAAAAAUUCAAAGACAUCCUUUAGAGCUAAAUGUAAUUAAGCAUUGUCUUCUACGCUUCCUCAAACCAAAACCCAAAACCUUGGUUUGGGGGGGGCGGGGGGUGGGUUUGGUGUUUUUUUCCAAAAUGGGGAAGGUGCAAUGAAAUUUAAAGCCUGUAGGCAAGGGAAAAGGAAAUAGAUAGUUGGAGGUUUGUAUUUGUACUUCCAUAGGAAAUUUCAAAGUUCUGUACUUUCUUCACUCAACUUUGGGACAAAGAACAGAAAUGCCAGUAUCUGCUGCAGAAAGGGAAAGCUUUAAAAAAAAUCAAUUCAGAACCCACUUCUGGGCAAAACAGCACCUCCAGGCUCUUCUAAACUAACUGCUGAAGCCCUACAAACCUCAACCGUUAGCAUUAAAUUAUUAAUUUUGUACAACGAAUAUGAAAGUCAAAGUAAGCGAAGCAUCACCUGCAAAGCCAUGCGUCUUUGACUCUGCGGCUGGCUGGCCAGGGCUGCUAGGCAGGCCCUCGGCAGCAGUUUUGCACAGCAGAGCACCGUGCAAGAAUCUCCAUGUUGGUGGGGACCCAAGUCAGCACACCUUUGGGGCAAGGUGUAAUGGCACAUAACCUCCCAGCAUAGCAUAGUGCCCAUGCUUAUAAACCAUGUUUAAUUUGAAUCUUGGAUGCUUACAAUAAGAUAACUCACCCAUACUGGCUUCAGGGGCUUGGCAAAGCUGGGAUGCUUCCAGAUUUGAGUUGCCUCACGUGCAGUCAACUCGGACAAUGGUGUUGGGUCUUCUCGCUGCGUCCAGCCUUAGGGCUGGCGUGAGCAGAGCCAUGGCUGCCUGGUGGUCCCCCAGUUCUGGGGAGCAGAGAUGUCUCCCUGCUUCCACUGGGGGUGUGUAGGAGCAGUGAUGUGCCCUUUCUGGUAGGUGUCACCUACUGCUGGGAGCAGCUCUUCCCAAUAGCCAAAUGUGGUUGUAUCUCCACGCACUCACCUGUUUAUGGUCACCAGACCAGAUUUGCUUUUAAUGCUGCAAAAGGCUCGCACGGUGACAUCUUCCUAUCCUUGCAGCCAAUUGCUUGCUGAUGCACACACAUUAAGAAAGAAAUCCUCAGAGGAGGAGCAAGACCAAACUGUUCUAAAAUAACUUCAAUCGGCAAAGCCUACUGGGGCUGCCACGCAAACCCUUGGCUUGCAUGGCCUUUCCUGGCUCGGCAUGAAAGAUCGUGGCAUCCCCACCCGUCCCCGACUGAAUUGUGUCCUGAUUGAGUCGGAAAAGCCACCGAGGUCCUUGGGCUGCUGGAUGAACAAAAAGGGGAAUCUCGUAACAUCAUUGCAUAGCAGCCCAGGCUUCCUUCCAGGCAUGUUUUCUCACUCUGAUUCUUUUCUUCAGUCUUUCUCUGUCUCGUCAUCAAAUAAAUGACUUAACUCAUA